rnacentral:rRNA from 1 species
AUGAACGCUGACGGCGUGCCUAAUACCUGCAAGUCGAGCGAACGGACGAGAAGCUUGCUUCUCUGAUGUUAGCGGCGGACGGGUGAGUAACACGUGGAUAACCUACCUAUAAGACUGGGAUAACUUCGGGAAACCGGAGCUAAUACCGGAUAAUAUUUUGAACCGCAUGGUUCAAAAGUGAAAGACGGUCUUGCUGUCACUUAUAGAUGGAUCCGCGCUGCAUUAGCUAGUUGGUAAGGUAACGGCUUACCAAGGCAACGAUGCAUAGCCGACCUGAGAGGGUGAUCGGCCACACUGGAACUGAGACACGGUCCAGACUCCUACGGGAGGCAGCAGUAGGGAAUCUUCCGCAAUGGGCGAAAGCCUGACGGAGCAACGCCGCGUGAGUGAUGAAGGUCUUCGGAUCGUAAAACUCUGUUAUUAGGGAAGAACAUAUGUGUAAGUAACUGUGCACAUCUUGACGGUACCUAAUCAGAAAGCCACGGCUAACUACGUG